rnacentral:rRNA from 1 species
CGAACGGGUGAGUAAUAUAUCGGAACGUGCCUAGUAAUGGGGAACAACUAACCGAAAGGUUAGCUAAUACCGCAUACGCACUGAGGUGGAAAGCGGGGGAUCGUAAGACCUCGCGCUACUGGAGCGGCCGAUGUCCGAUUAGCUAGUUGGUGGGGUAAAGGCCUACCAAGGCGACGAUCGGUAGCUGGUCUGAGAGGAUGAUCAGCCACACUGGGACUGAGACACGGCCCAGACUCC